GACAUACAAGUCAUUAAUUUUCAUUUUUUUGAGUGUCAGUAACGUUUUCUUCUUGCCAGUCGAUUCCUUAGAAUGUCGGUAUUGCACAGGCUCAGGAGAUUCCAAUGACUGUCGCACAGGAAACGUAACGGAACUCACGACAUGCACCAUCAAGGGAGAGGAUCACUGUUAUGCAGAGUAUAUAUUAAAUGAAGGUCAUAAUCCUUAUUAUCGUAGAGGAUGUGCCCCUGGUGACUGGUGCCAACAACAAAUGAGAAGUCAUUCUACCGCACUCAAAUUCUGUAGUACUUGUCAAGGUUCGAAAUGAAAUAGUAAGACAAUUGGGUCCGAGGAUCCAUCCUCCUUCUUGUGUAGAAGUUGUGAGAGUUAUGAUUCGAAAGGUGACUGCAGGAAAGGUACAGUCAACACAUCCACCAAAUGUAAAAAAGGGACCAAGUGUCUACAAUAUGAGAUUACGGGGAUAAAGAAGGGUUACUGGAGGAGAGCAUGUGACACAAAUUCGUGUGCCAACCUUUCGCAACAUUACUCCUCAACCUCAUUACGAUGCAAGGUAUGCGAACACGAAUUCUGUAACAAUGUUCCAUUUUAAAUUUCCCCCUAACUGUGAAACUGUAAUCUACUUUCACUUAUGAAAUUAAAGGAGAUUGAACAUA